UGAUACUCUCACUCCGUCACUUCUUCAGGGCGGGCUUCAGGGUGGGCUGGUAGCGCAGUGUAUAUUCUCAUGAGGAUCCCUGAGUGGAUUCACUUGGGCUGGUCCCAGGACAAAGACCCCUAAGCAGCGUGGAGGACCUUCAGCUUACUCUCCGGUGCUCUUGGGGGGCGGUGCAAGGAGCUGCUCAGGGGAGACGCUGCAGGAAGCCAGUGAGGUCCAUGUGUCCUGGCCUCUCUGAGGGGACUUGAUGGGAGUUGCAGCGUGGCUCACACGGAGCAAGGAGGCCAGGCUGCAAUCCAUGUCUGGUCAGUUGUUACAGAGUUCAGAAGAAAAGGACUUAGACCUUUGAAGUGCCAGUAAUUUUUUGUGAUUUCUUUAUCCAUUCUAAAUACUUUAACACCUAAUUGUAUUUAUAAUUUUUAUCUUUUUUCUUUAAAAGGGUCCACCAGAUUGUAAAAGCUCCAGGUAUACAGAAAACCUGAUAAUCCUGAGAACCCCAUGCAUACCAGGAGUGUGUGCUGCUAGGUUUCUUCAUAUUGCCUCCUUGCAAGUCUGUGCCAGGCUUUGGGGAGGGUGUGGGAAAAGGGGAGUCCAGUGGGAGAGGCAUGGACACAGAGAACCUCGGUGGUUUGUGGUGGUUCUACCUCUGCUUGGUGGUCCCGUAGGAGUUCAGCAAUUGUAAGGUGACCAGAUAACUAUUUCUGCCUCUCCCCCUCCUUCCUCUGAUGUGGAUGGAGAAAGUUGGAGAAAAGCAGAAGAGAGGCCAAGUCCAUACCAGUAUCCUGGGUGGCAGGCAGCAGGGUCCCUAGUGAACUGGGAGGAAUGUAGGAGAAACAGGAACACAGAGGAUGCUACUAGGGGUCCAAAGAGCUCUUUGAAUCUUUGUUUCUGAAGGAUCUUGAAGCCCAAAGGAAGAACCUGAGGCUAGGUGAUCACAACAGUUUUUGCUGGGGAGGAUGGAUUAAACACUCCUGUGUGUACACCUCUUGAUUAUUAUGAGGGGCCAGUGCCAGAGGCCGGCUUGGGGGAACUUUUAUAGUCCUCUGUAACCUUCAUCAGCUUCACCUGAAUCAAACUGUCAACCCUGCCAUCCAGCUACCCAAGAGAAGCUGUAUUCGACACAGCAUCCAGAAUGAUCCCUACAGUGUGCCGGGUCGCGAUGCCUCCGAUCAAGAUCUGCCUGUGACUUUCUGUCUUAUUGGAAGCGAACAACCCAAGAUCACCAUUUCCUGUCCCUCCCUUCUUGUCUCUGACUCGAUGUCCUCAUAACCUCCUGAUCCACGUCAUGGGAGCCACACUGGCCCCAGCUCGGGGCAGCUGUCCUCCCCAGACAGCCACGUGGGACUUCCCUCUCCCCCUUCGGGUCCCUCCUCAGACGUCACCUUCUCAGGCGGCGGUUUCCUAACCACCUCAUGAAAACUGCAGGCUCCUCUCUGAGCUCUCUCUGUUCUCUGUCCCAGUUUCAUUUCUCUCCAUGGUACUUAUCACUAUCUGACACAUGAUUUUAUUUAUUGUCUGUCUCACCCUAUUGGAAUGUAAACUCCCUGAAGGCGGGAAUUUUUGUCUGUUCUGUUUUGUUCACUUCUGUAUCCCACCAGCUAGAAUAUUGCCUGGUACACAGUAUGU